GAGUAAUAGAGGGCUCUGGUGACCCUGCUGAGAGAUGGUUCAGUGACCUUGAGGUGGCAGCAGGAAAAGCAGAAGAGAGUCACCACCUGUGGAAGCGCUGAGAAAGGAAUUGAGGUUUGACUGAUGGAAAGAGAAACUCAGUUCAUCCAUGUACAUCAAGUCCAUCUAGUCAAGGCUAUGGUUUUUCCACUGGCCAUGUAUGGAUGUGAGAGUUGGACUAUAAGGGAAGCUGAGCACCGAAGAAUUGAUGCUUUUGAACAGUGGUGUUGGAGAAGACUCUUGAGAGUCCCUUGGACUGCAAGGAGAUCCAACCAGUCCAUUCUGAAGGAGAUCAGCCCUGAAUAUUCAUUGGAAGGACUGAUGCUGAAGCUGAAACUCCAAUACUUUGGCCACCUGAUGCAAAGAGUUGACUCAUUGGAAAAGACUCUGAUGCUAGGAGGGAUUGGGGGCAGGAAGAGAAGGGGACGACAGAGGAUGAGAUGGCUGGAGGGCAUCACUGACUUGAUGGACAUGAGUUUGGGUAAACUCCAGGAGUUGGUGAUGGACAGGAAGGCCUGGCGUGCUGCAAUUCAUGGGGUUGGCAAAGAGUCGGACACAACUGAGCGACUGACCUGAACUGAACUGAUUCUCUUCUCAGCAAGUGAAACAGUGGCUGCUUUGCUGGAGUGUUUUUUAAUUUUUUUUUCUUUUCCUUUGGCAGUAUUAUACCUGAAUUCCUGAUUAGUAUUGUCAGCAAUGAAGUCCUUUCCUUAGAACUCAUGUCUACAUUCAGUAACUGGCUAUAACAGGAAUAUCUCUGCAGAAUCUAAACUAGUCAGGAGCUGUGCUUCUGGUGUUUCAGUCUCUCAGAGAUGUGCUAAGUUUACUUUCAAGUCUCAAAUUGUAUUGUUAAAUCUGUAAAUGGAUCAAUUAGAUGCCAGUUAGGUACCAAUCUCUGCUUUUAUGACUGUAGUUCAUUUC
ensembl:lncRNA